UGCUAUACAUGCAAGUCGAGCGAGAAGACGUAGCAAUACGUUUGUAAAGCGGCGAACGGGUGAGGAAUACAUGGGUAACCUACCCUCGAGUGGGGAAUAACUAGCCGAAAGGUUAGCUAAUACCGCAUACGGCUCCUGGUCUGCGGAUCAGGAGAGAAAGCGAUACCGUGGGUAUCGCGCUCUUGGAUGGGCUCAUGUCCUAUCAGCUUGUUGGUGAGGUAACGGCUCACCAAGGCUUCGACGGGUAGCUGGUCUGAGAGGACGAUCAGCCACACUGGCACUGCGACACGGGCCAGACUCCUACGGGAGGCAGCAGUAAGGAAUAUUGCGCAAUGGGCGACAGCCUGACGCAGCGACGCCGCGUGGGGGAUGAAGGUCUUCGGAUUGUAAACCCCUUUCGGCAGGGAAGAUGGAACGGGUAACCGUUCGGACGGUACCUGCAGAAGCAGCCACGGCUAACUUCGUGCCAGCAGCCGCGGUAAUACGAAGGUGGCAAGCGUUGUUCGGAUUUACUGGGCGUACAGGGAGCGUAGGCGGUUGGGUAAGCCCUCCGUGAAAUCUCCGGGCCUAACCCGGAAAGUGCGGAGGGGACUGCUCGGCUAGAGGAUGGGAGAGGAGCGCGGAAUUCCCGGUGUAGCGGUGAAAUGCGUAGAGAUCGGGAGGAAGGCCGGUGGCGAAUGCGGCGCUCUGGAACAUUUCUGACGCUGAGGCUCGAAAGCGUGGGGAGCAAACAGGAUUGGAUACCCUGGUAGUCCACGCCUUAACGAUGGAUACUAAGUGUCGGCGGGUUACCGCGGUGCCGCAGC
rnacentral:rRNA from 1 species